UUAUUUGAUUUUUAAAAUUUAUUGCUGAUAUUUUAAUUAUUAGGUAACAACUAGAACCAUUUCAGAACAAUUAAAAAGAUGCGUUGUCAAUUAAAAGUAGAAUAAAAAAUUUAAAAUGUAAAAAAAAAGUUUUAAAAUUUACCUAAUAGUUUUUUUCUACUAGAAGUUUUUCAAUUUCUUUUUUUCCAGGCCUCAUUGAAUUUGAAGAAUGUGACACUGCUAGUGCAGUUGAAGGUAUAAAACCAAGGAAAAGAAAGACCUUUGCUUUGCCAGGAAUCAUUAAA
rnacentral:lncRNA from 10 species